AUACCCCUUUGGAUUCUGUGGCGCUAUUGCCAUCUUACUGGGCAGCAUUGGAUUUUGUCUAUGUUUCUAAUACUGCCUGGUAAUGAUGAUUAUGGCGCCCCACAUACAACGUGCGGCAAG
rnacentral:pre_miRNA from 14 species